rnacentral:rRNA from 1 species
AGCGAACGCUGGCGGUAUGCUUAACACAUGCAAGUCGAGCGCGAAAGUGACUUCGGUCAUGAGUAGAGCGGCGGACGGGUGAGUAACACGUGGAUAAUCUGCCUUUAGGACUGGGAUAACCCUGGGAAACUAGGGCUAAUACCGGAUAAGACCACAGGUUCCAUGGAACCAGGGGUAAAAGGCGGCCUUCGGGCUGUCGCCGAAAGAUGAGUCCGCGUCCCAUCAGGUAGUUGGUGAGGUAACGGCUCGCCAAGCCGAAGACGGGUAGCCGACCUUAGCGGGUGAUCGGCCACACGGGGACUGAGACACGGCCCCGACUCCUACGGGAGGCAGCAGUGGGGAAUCUUGGGCAAUGGGCGCAAGCCUGACCCAGCAAUACCGCGUGAGGGAUGAAGGCCUUC